AUGAACCACUCAAACUCCUCACAUGGCAUUUGUUGUGAUUUCUCUUUUCUACCCUCAACCAAACUUUCUCUCCACUAUACCUCAUUCACCUCACUCUAUUUAACAUUCUCAUCACCUCACAAUCAAGAGAUGUGCACUGGAGUGAGAGAAAGGAAAUAUGAAAUCACCAUCUUCAUCAAGCAAAUUUUCUAUCGGGUUCCACCAUUCUCCGAAGUGGACUUCCAUUUAUCACUUAUUUCUUCAUCUCUGAAGCUUGAAGAUUAUUAUUCUCGGAGUUUCUUGAUCUUUUUAGUUGAAAGAAGUAGUGGACGAAUCAUUCUCUUAGUAAGCUCCAUGAUCCUUUCUCUCAUGCUCUCAUCCAUAGAUUUAAAUGCUUAG